rnacentral:rRNA from 1 species
AGGUUAAGUUGUUAAGGGCGCACGGUGGAUGCCUUGGCACUAGGAGCCGAUGAAGGACGGUACUAACACCGAUAUGUUUCGGGGAGCUGUAAGUAAGCUUUGAUCCGGAGAUUUCCGAAUGGGGAAACCCACUGUUUGUAAUGGGACAGUAUCUUUACCUGAAUCCAUAGGGUAAUGAAGGCAGACCCGGGGAACUGAAACAUCUAAGUACCCGGAGGAAGAGAAAGCAAACGCGAUUUCCUGAGUAGCGGCGAGCGAAACGGAAGAAGCC